GACAGAGGGUGCAAACGUUGUUCGGAAUUACUGGGCGUAAAGCGCGUGUAGGCGGCCCUGCAAGUCGGAUGUGAAAUCCCACGGCUCAACCGUGGAAGUGCAUUCGAAACUGCAGGGCUAGAGUCCUGGAGAGGAAGGUGGAAUGCUUGGUGUAGAGGUGAAAUUCGUAGAUAUCGGGAGGAACACCAGUGGCGAAGGCGGCGAUCUGGGAAGAUACUGACGCUGAGGUGCGAAAGCGUGAGGAGCAAACAGG
rnacentral:rRNA from 1 species